GUCCUCAAAUUUGCUGUCAGACUGUCUGCCACAGAGCCGGGGGCCCUUGUUGGGCCCAGGCACUGGAGGCACGUGGGCCCUCUUGAGGCUCCACCUGGGGAGGCCCAGGCUUGUCUCCAGGGAGCAAAGCGGAUACUGACGCAGCCCCCUCCGCCCCAGCCUGGGGACCACAGCAUUCUGGGACAUGGGGACUGCGCCAGGACGGGCCGCCAGCUCCCUCUGCUUCUCGUUAGGACUUGUCACCUCCCCCGCCCGGCCCCUCCCUGUUGGGCAGCAGCACUCCUCACCGUCCUCCUGGGACCAUCACGGCCCAGAAAGUCCUGUCAGCUCAGCAGGGUCAAGCCAGGGAAGCUGCGCCUUCCAGAAAGGAGGGGGAAGAGGCCGAGCCUGGACUCUGGACCCGUGAGCCAGGCCCGAGCUGAGCCGCAGAUGCUGUCCAGCCACCUGAACCAGGUGGCCUGCGAGCCUUCCAUCUGUGAGCAGAGACCGGGUCAGAAGUCUCUCCUGCAGGCAGGUACCUGCACGGUGGCCAGCGCUGGGCAGGGUGUGUGAACGGUGCUGAGCGGUGCCCCUGGGGACGCGGGACGUCACGCACCUGGGUGAGUCGGCUGCUCCCUUCCUUCUCACCGCACCGUGUCAGCCCAGCUGAGGCCCGGAGUCUUCCCGGGGCAGCUCCCGGGCUCUGACAGCCGAGGCGAGAGGCGGCUUUGUCGUCCAGGCCGCGAACACAGGCCCCGAGGUCCUGCUGAAGUGGACUAGGAGUUCUGGUCCCUUUGUCCGGACGUAGGAGGCUCAGAGUCUGCGUGCACGUGGCGUCAGCGAGCAGCUGGAGGAGGCUCCCUGGCGAGCUGGGAGGGAGCCACCGUGCCUUCCGUCUUCCCGGGACUUGGACUGCACAGGGGUGUGUGUGUGUGUGAGUGUGAGUUGAAUGGGUGUGAAUGUGUGAGUCUGAUGUGUGUGAGCGUGAGUUCAGUGGGGUGGGUGUGUCACACACGGUGAUGACUCCCAGAUCCUCCCGUCCCUCUCCCGGGGCUGCAGGUCAGUCCAGGCCACAGGACGCAUUCCUGGUCACCGUCAUUCCCGCUGAACCUGCUUUAGUGUCCCCUUCUUUAGAACAGGGGGGUUGACAUCUCUGUGAUCUGGUCCUCUGGGCGCCCACGGGGAGACCGAGGCCCCGGGUCCUCAGCUCUGACCACCCCCCGCCCCGCCUCCCUCUGAGGCCCUCGGGUGCCCGGUCUGUGGGUCUGAGGAGAGUGGCAGCCGUGACUUCUGCACAGUUUGCUGGGGGCCAGGUGGCUCAAGCCCACAGCAGCGCCCCGUAUUUGCAAGUGACCGAGUGUCACCUCUGUGCUGUCCAGAGUCUUUUGCAGACAUGCUGGCCAACGACUGAGGUCUCCCUGCCGUGACCUCCCCACCAGGCCUGCCUGCCAGGGCCCCAGGGCCUCCGGGGGCUGCCCUCUCUGCCCAGGGGUCGUCUGACCGUGGGACUGCGUGUGACCCUCCACACAACUCUGGCUCUGGGUGAUUUUCUGUACACAAGUGAUGCCCUCUG
rnacentral:lncRNA from 1 species